rnacentral:rRNA from 1 species
CUACGGGCGGCUCCAGUGAGGAAUAUUGCACAAUGGAGGAAACUCUGAUGCAGCCAUGCCGCGUGUGUGAAGAAGGCCCGAGGGUUGUAAAGCACUUUCAAUUGGGAGGAAGGUUAUGUAGCUAAUACCUGCAUAAUUUGACGUUACCUUUAGAAGAAGCACCGGCUAACUCUGUGCCAGCAGCCGCGGUAAUACAGAGGGUGCAAGCGUUGUUCGGAAUUACUGGGCGUAAAGCGCGCGUAGGCGGAUUGUUAAGUCAGAUGUGAAAGCCCUGGGCUCAACCUGGGAACGGCAUUUGAUACUGGCAGUCUAGAGUUUAAGAGAGGGAAGGGGAAUUUCUAGUGUAGCAGUGAAAUGCGUAGAUAUUAGAAGGAACAUCAGUGGCGAAGGCGCCUUCCUGGCUUAAAACUGACGCUGAGGUGCGAAAGCGUGGGUAGCGAACGGGAUUAGAUACCCUCGUAGUC